rnacentral:misc_RNA from 1 species
GAAUUGCGAAAAGUAAUGUGAAUUGCAUAAUUCCGUGAAUCAUCAAAUCUUUGAACGCACCUUGCGCUAGCUGGAAUUCCGGCUAGCAUGCCUGUUUGAGUAUUGAAAUACAAUCACCUUUGGGUGGACAUGGGCGAUGUUUAUAACGACUCGCCUCAAAGGAAAUUGGAGUAGAAUAGAACUAAAUAUCCUAACACUACUUGACCACAAAUCCAAUCUCAAAUCAGGUCGGACUACCCGCUGAACUUAA